GCCGAAGUGGCGGAAUUGGUAGACGCGCUAGGUUCAGGGUCUAGUGGGGGCAGCCCCGUGCGAGUUCGAGCCUCGCCUUCGGCACCA
rnacentral:tRNA from 1 species